GCUUUCCUUCUAGCCAUCCAUUUCAUGAUAUUUUUCAAAAAUUUAUGAUGUUUUCAAUUUUUAGAACUGAAAAUAACAUGACUCCUUUGGCAAGUGGGAACACCUAUUUGUCCAGGGAAAUAAAAUAACAAUUCUGGGCCUGCCACAGACUGUCCCCAAAAGGUACCAGAAGUGGAACAAAAAAUAAGAGAAAAGGAAAAAAACAAAGAAAUAUCAGGACUCCUGCUGAACAAAAACCUAGAAGAUCCACCCAUAAUAAUUUUAGAAACAGAAGACUCCAAUAAUUCUGACAAUGGGAGCAAGAACAUGGAAACUUUGGAAACCUCUCCAGGGACGAGGUCUGCAUCAUGGAUUCCCAGGUGUUUUCAAACCCUCCGGAAAAAAUUCAGAAAGGGAUCAAAAGAGAGAAAAAAUCAACAGAAGGAACAAGGAAAUUUUCCAUCAAUUCCAGGGGAAAUAUCACGCCGCACUAUGGAAAGAUUUCCAGAAACCUACCAUCACAGGAAUCCAACCAUCUCAGAUUGGACAGAGGAGGACGUAAGUAAUUGGCUCUGCUUCACUGGGAUGGAUUAUUAUUCCAGUCGUGUCCACUUCGAUGGCUGGCUCCUGCUUACACAUACAAAGAGAAUACUAAAGAGCUUUAACAACCAAAAUCAAAAGGAGAAAAAGAUUCUCCUUAAGGAGAUAAAAAAACUCCAACAUCUCGAGGCAGAACUGGAAAGAAGAAAUGCAAAAAGAGUCCUAGAGAGGACGGGCAUAAGAGAGAAGCCCAUCUAUUAGAACUAUUCCCAUUACAUCACAUGAAGUGGCACAAAGACCUAUUACAGAAGAGGGAAAGAAGGGAGGGAGAUGAGCAUUGUUUGAACCUUACUCUCAUCAGAUUUGACUCAAGGAGGGAAUAACAUAGGUAUAGAAAUCUAACUUGCCUUAUAUGCAG
rnacentral:lncRNA from 1 species